rnacentral:lncRNA from 1 species
AUGAUAAGGCAUGAUCUGGAUAUGACCGAGGUGGUCAACCGCAAGAGACCAAAGUCUGUUCUGGAUGUGAGGUUUCUGAAUCACCAGGAGGACAUAAUUCUUCAACACAAACUGACCCUGUUAGACAUGAGGCACAGGUACACCCUCAGAGUUCUGUGUCAGGAUAGAAUCUCACUGAUGAUGGAACACAGGAAACUACUACUUCUCAAAGUCUGUGAACCUUGUGCCACUAUCAACAAAACCAUGAAAGAGAUAUCCGAAACUAAAAAGGCAAGGAUGGAUCGUGCCGUCUCUGCCUCUGACAACAUACGGUUGAAAUCCAGUAAAUCCCUUUCCAUCAACAGAGGGAAACUAGUCUCAUGUUGGCAGACAUCAAACAGUAAUGUCAUUGUAGAGAAACCUAGAAUGGUUGGGGUUGAGGCUAGAGGAACAUCAAUGCUGAGCUUGAGGAGAUCUCAGUCAGCACAGCCCAAAACUGUACACACUGCCAAUCACAGAGAGACAGAGACAGGACACUCUGCCAAGCACAGAGAGACACAAGCAAGGGCAGGGCACUCUUCCAAGCACAGAGAAACAGAGACAGGACACUCUGCCAAGCACAGAGUGACAGAGACAGGACACUCUGCCAAGCACAGAGCGACACAAGCAAGGGCAGGGCACUCUGCCAAGCACAGAGAGACAGAGACAGGACACUCUGCCAAGCACAGAGCGACACAAGCAAGGGCAGGACACUCUGCCAAGCACAGAGAGACAGAGGCAGGACACUCUGCCAAGCACAGAGAAACAGAGGUGGGACACUCUGCCAAGCACAGAGAAACAGAGGUGGGACACUCUGCCAAGCACAGAGAGACAGAGGCAGGACACUCUGCCAAGCACAGAGAAACAGAGGCAGGACACUCUGCCAAGCACAGAGAAACAGAGGCAGGACACUCUGCCAAGCACAGAGAAACAGAGGUGGGACACUCUGCCAAGCACAGAGAGACAGAGGCAGGACACUCUGCCAAGCACAGAGAGACAGAGGUAGGGGUAGGGGUGUUUUCUAUCAUGCAGCUGAGGCAAAUAUCCACUAUCGACUGUAUCUCAGAAAAGGAGCUGGCCAGCCAACAGCAACAUGCUAGAGGAGAGAAGGAGAGACUCAAACAAUGUCAGCAGGAUAUGCUAAGCCAGAAAAUAAUCAACUUUCUGAAAAAACUUGACAACACUUGUAAUGAGCAGAUAGAAACAUGA